rnacentral:rRNA from 1 species
GAUCAACGCUGGCGGCGUGCCUCAGACAUGCAAGUCGAACGAUUAAAGCUCUCUUCGGAGAGUGUAUAGAGUGGCGCACGGGUGAGUAACACGUAAGUAAUCUACCUUUGAGUGGGGAAUAACGUCCGGAAACGGACGCUAAUACCGCAUAAUGCAGCGGCAUCGCAAGAUGACAGUUGUUAAAGAUCUAUCGCUUGAAGAGGAGCUUGCGGCAGAUUAGCUUGUUGGUAAGGUAACGGCUUACCAAGGCUACGAUCUGUAACCGGUCUAAGAGGACGGUCGGUCACACUGACACUGAAUAACGGGUCAGACUCCUACGGGAGGCAGCAGUCGGGAAUUUUGGGCAAUGGGCGAAAGCCUGACCCAGCAACGCCGCGUGAAGGAUGAAGUAUUUCGGUAUGUAAACUUCGAAAGAAUGGGAAGAAUCAAUGACGGUACCAUUUAUAAGGUACCGGCUAACUACGUGCCAGCCGCCGCCGUAAC